rnacentral:tmRNA from 1 species
GGGGCUGACCUGGUUUCGACGGGAUCAAGUAGCUUCUAAUUGCAUGUCGGACUGAGCAUCUCCGUUACGCGGCUCAACUUGCUUAAACGCAAACAAUACAAAUUAUCGCCCAGCUUACGCAGUAGCAUAAGUUUUACCCCGACCUCUUAAUUGAUGGUCGGCGGGCUGCUUCACCUGUUGACUCUAGAUAGGCAGGAUUCGAAGUAUAACCCUUAUGUAGAUAUAUUUUAUGUCUGUCUCGAGCAUAAAAAGAACCCUAGAGGCUCGUCUUGCGUAGCUUUGCAAGUUGUGUGAAGCAAGAUUAAACUUAAACGACUUUACUAAACAUGUAGACGUUAGGAGUAGCGUGGUUUCGGACUGGAGUUCGAUCCUCCACAGCUCCACCA